rnacentral:pre_miRNA from 1 species
CGCCCUCUCCCUCUGUUCCAAAUUACUUGUCAUACGUAUGGAUGUAUCUAGAUGUAUUUUAGUUCUAGAUACAUCCAUUUCUUUGACGAUUAAUUUGGAACGGAGGGAGUAGUUG